rnacentral:rRNA from 1 species
GGUUCAUCCAAAUUUCUGCCCUAUCAACUUUCGAUGGUAGGAUAGUGGCCUACCAUGGUUUCAACGGGUAACGGGGAAUUAGGGUUCUAUUCCGGAGAGGGAGCCUGAGAAACGGCUACCACAUCCAAGGAAGGCAGCAGGCGCGCAAAUUACCCAAUCCCGACCGGGGAGGUAGUGACAAUAAAUACUGAUACAGGGCUCUUUAGGGUCUUGUAAUUGGAAUGAGUACAAUUUAAAUCCCUUAACGAGGAACAAUUGGAGGGCAAGUCUGGUGCCAGCAGCCGCGGUAAUUCCAGCUCCAAUAGCGUAUAUUAAAGUUGUUGCAGUUAAAAAGCUCGUAGUUG